GCGGCGGACGGGUGAGUAACACGUGGGUAACCUACCCAUAAGACUGGGAUAACUCCGGGAAACCGGGGCUAAUACCGGAUAAUAUUUUGAACUGCAUAGUUCGAAAUUGAAAGGCGGCUUCGGCUGUCACUUAUGGAUGGACCCGCGUCGCAUUAGCUAGUUGGUGAGGUAACGGCUCACCAAGGCGACGAUGCGUAGCCGACCUGAGAGGGUGAUCGGCCACACUGGGACUGAGACACGGCCCAGACUCCUACGGGAGGCAGCAGUAGGGAAUCUUCCGCAAUGGACGAAAGUCUGACGGAGCAACGCCGCGUGAGUGAUGAAGGCUUUCGGGUCGUAAAACUCUGUUGUUAGGGAAGAACAAGUGCUAGUUGAAUAAGCUGGCACCUUGACGGUACCUAACCAGAAAGCCACGGCUAACUACGUGCCAGCAGCCGCGGUAAUACGUAGGUGGCAAGCGUUAUCCGGAAUUAUUGGGCGUAAAGCGCGCGCAGGUGGUUUCUUAAGUCUGAUGUGAAAGCCCACGGCUCAACCGUGGAGGGUCAUUGGAAACUGGGAGACUUGAGUGCAGAAGAG
rnacentral:rRNA from 1 species